AUUGAACGCUGGCGGCAGGCCUAACACAUGCAAGUCGAACGGUAACAGGAAGCAGCUUGCUGCUUCGCUGACGAGUGACGGACGGGUGAGUAAUGUCUGGGAAGCUGCCUGAUGGAGGGGGAUAACUACUGGAAACGGUAGCUAAUACCGCAUAAUGUCGCAAGACCAAAGAGGGGGACCUUCGGGCCUCUUGCCAUCGGAUGUGCCCAGAUGGGAUUAGCUUGUUGGUGGGGUAACGGCUCACCAAGGCGACGAUCCCUAGCUGGUCUGAGAGGAUGACCAGCCACACUGGGACUGAGACACGGUCCAGACUCCUACGGGAGGCAGCAGUGGGGAAUAUUGCACAAUGGGCGCAAGCCUGAUGCAGCCAUGCCGCGUGUAUGAAGAAGGCCUUCGGGUUGUAAAGUACUUUCAGCGGGGAGGAGGGGAGUAAAGUUAAUACCUUGGCUCAUUGACGUUACCCGCAGAAGAAGCACCGGCUAACUCCGUG
rnacentral:rRNA from 1 species